CGCAUAGUCUUCGAUGACGGCCAUCAGAUUUGAAGUAAAGAUUUAUCGGUAAUGGAUGGGGAUGCGUCUGAUUAGCUUGUUGGCGGGGUAACGGCCCACCAAGGCAACGAUCAGUAGGGGUUCUGAGAGGAAGGUCCCCCACAUUGGAACUGAGACACGGUCCAAACUCCUACGGGAGGCAGCAGUGAGGAAUAUUGGUCAAUGGACGGAAGUCUGAACCAGCCAAGUAGCGUGCAGGAUGACGGCCCUAUGGGUUGUAAACUGCUUUUGUAUGGGGAUAAAGUUAGGGACGUGUCCCUAUUUGCAGGUACCAUACGAAUAAGGACCGGCUAAUUCCGUGCCAGCAGCCGCGGUAAUACGGAAGGUCCAGGCGUUAUCCGGAUUUAUUGGGUUUAAAGGGAGCGUAGGCUGGAGAUUAAGUGUGUUGUGAAAUGUAGACGCUCAACGUCUGAAUUGCAGCGCAUACUGGUUUCCUUGAGUACGCACAACGUUGGCGGAAUUCGUCGUGUAGCGGUGAAAUGCUUAGAUAUGACGAAGAACUCCGAUUGCGAAGGCAGCUGACGGGAGCGCAACUGACGCUUAAGCUCGAAGGUGCGGGUAUCAAACAGGAUUAGAUACCCUGGUAGUCCGCACAGUAAACGAUGGAUGCCCGCUGUUGGUACCUGGUAUCAGCGGCUAAGCGAAAGCAUUAAGCAUCCCACCUGGGGAGUACGCCGGCAACGGUGAAACUCAAAGGAAUUGACGGC
rnacentral:rRNA from 1 species